rnacentral:rRNA from 1 species
UGCUUCUUGUCACACCAUAAGAAGUAAUUCCUGCCCAGUGACUAAUAUUCAACGGCCGCGGUAUCCUAACCGUGCAAAGGUAGCAUAAUCACUUGCCCGUUAAUUGCGGGCUAGAAUGAAAGGAUCUACGAAAUAAAAACUGUCUCUAUAAGCCUGAUAAAAAUUAACCUCUAACUGAAGACUGUUAGAUACCGUCGAAGGACAAGAAGACCCUAUAGAGCUUCAUUUUAAUAGAAAAAUAAUAUCCUAAUAAAAUUCGGUUGGGGCGACCCGGGAUCAAAUAAUCAUCCCGCAAAACCAGAUAAAUAAAUCUCCAUAAUGACCCUUAAUUAAGAUCAAGAGAACAAGCUACCUUAGGGAUAACAGGCUAAUCCCACUAAAGAGUCCUUAUCAAUAGUGGGGUUUGGCACCUCGAUGUUGGCUUAGGAAAUCUAUGCGGCGCAAAAGUCACAUAAAGAUGGUUUGUUCAACCAAAAAUACCCU